AUUGAACGCUGGCGGCAGGCCUAACACAUGCAAGUCGAGCGAGCGGCGGACGGGUGAGUAAUGUAUGGGAAACUGCCUGAUGGAGGGGGAUAACUACUGGAAACGGUAGCUAAUACCGCAUACCAUCGGAUGUGCCCAUAUGGGAUUAGCUAGUAGGUGGGGUAAAGGCUCACCUAGGCGACGAUCCCUAGCUGGUCUGAGAGGAUGACCAGCCACACUGGUACUGAGACACGGUCAAGACUCCUACGGGAGGCAGCAGUGGGGAAUAUUGCACAAUGGGCGCAAGCCUGAUGCAGCCAUGCCGCGUGUGUGAAGAAGGCCUUCGGGUUGUAAAGCACUUUCAGCGGGGAGGCGUUACCCGCAGAAGAAGCACCGGCUAACUCCGUGCCAGCAGCCGCGGUAAUAC
rnacentral:rRNA from 1 species